UGCUUCUCUGGACAGUGCCCUCC
rnacentral:piRNA from 2 species